rnacentral:ribozyme from 1 species
GGGCACCAGAGUGCGGCAUAGCGGGUAACGCCCGUCCGCCGCAAGGCGAGGACCAGUGCAACAGAAAGCA